rnacentral:rRNA from 1 species
GAUGAACGCUAGCGGCAGGCCUAAUACAUGCAAGUCGAACGGUAGAUCGGGUAGCAAUACUUGAUUGAGAGUGACGUAAGGGUGCGUAACACGUAUGCAAUCUACCCUCAACAGGAGUAUAGCUCGGGGAAACUCGGAUUAACACUCCAUAACAUUACGAUGUGGCAUCACAUUGUGAUUAAAACUCCGGUGGUUGAGGAUGAGCAUGCGUCUGAUUAGUUAGUUGGAGGUGUAACGGACCCCCAAGACGAUGAUCAGUAGGGGAACUGAGAGGUUGAUCCCCCACACUGGCACUGAGAUACGGGCCAGACUCCUACGGGAGGCAGCAGUAGGGAAUAUUGGUCAAUGGGUGAGAGCCUGAACCAGCCAUGCCGCGUGCAGGAAGACGGCCUUCUGGGUUGUAAACUGCUUUUAUCUGGGAUAAAAAGCCCAUGCGUGGGACAUUGAAGGUACCAGAUGAAUAAGCACCGGCUAACUACG